rnacentral:rRNA from 1 species
ACUCAAAGGAAUUGACGGGGACCCGCACAAGCGGUGGAUGAUGUGGUUUAAUUCGAUGCUACGCGAAGAACCUUACCAAGGCUUGACAUCCUGCGAAUCUCCAAGAAACUGGAGAGUGCCUUCGGGAGCGCAGUGACAGGUGUUGCAUGGCCGUCGUCAGCUCGUGUCGUGAGAUGUUGGGUUAAGUCCCGCAACGAGCGCAACCCUUAUCGUCUGUUGUAAUUUCAGGCGAGACUGCCCGGGCCAACCGGGAGGAAGGUGGGGAUGAAGUCAGGUCAGCAUGGCCCUUACGCCUUGGGCUACACACGUCAUACAAUGGCCGGUACAACGCGAAGCCAAGCAGCGAUGCGGAGCUAAUCGUACCAAAACCGGUCUCAGUUCGGAUUGAAGGCUGCAACUCGCCUCCAUGAAGUCGGAAUCGCUAGUAAACGUGGGUCAGCAUACCACGUUGAAUACGUUCCCGGGUCUUGCACACACCGCCCGU